AGCGGUAGAGAGAAGCUUGCUUCUCUUGAGAGCGGCGGACGGGUGAGUAAUACCUAGGAAUCUGCCUGAUAGUGGGGGAUAACGUUCGGAAACGGACGCUAAUACCGCAUACGUCCUACGGGAGAAAGCAGGGGACCUUCGGGCCUUGCGCUAUCAGAUGAGCCUAGGUCGGAUUAGCUAGUUGGUGAGGUAAUGGCUCACCAAGGCUACGAUCCGUAACUGGUCUGAGAGGAUGAUCAGUCACACUGGAACUGAGACACGGUCCAGACUCCUACGGGAGGCAGCAGUGGGGAAUAUUGGACAAUGGGCGAAAGCCUGAUCCAGCCAUGCCGCGUGUGUGAAGAAGGUCUUCGGAUUGUAAAGCACUUUAAGUUGGGAGGAAGGGCAUUAACCUAAUACGUUAGUGUUUUGACGUUACCGACAGAAUAAGCACCGGCUAACUCUGUGCCAGCAGCCGCGGUAAUACAGAGGGUGCAAGCGUUAAUCGGAAUUACUGGGCGUAAAGCGCGCGUAGGUGGUUUGUUAAGUUGAAUGUGAAAUCCCCGGGCUCAACCUGGGAACUGCAUCCAAAACUGGCAAGCUAGAGUAUGGUAGAGGGUAGUGGAAUUUCCUGUGU
rnacentral:rRNA from 1 species